UACGUAGGGGGCCAGCGUUGCUCGGAAUUACUGGGCGUAAAGGGUUCGUAGGCGGUGCGGCAAGUUGGGAGUGAAAUCUCUGGGCUUAACUCAGGGGCUGCCUUCAAAACUGCCGCGCUCGAGUGCGAGAGAGGUCAGUGGAAUUGCAGGUGUAGCGGUGAAAUGCGUAGAUAUCUGCAGGGACACCCGUGGCGAAGGCGGCUGACCUGGAUCGACAACGUGAC
rnacentral:rRNA from 1 species